UUAGAUAUUAUGCUUAUCUAUUAGAAAAUAUCUACAAAAGAUAUAUUAAUUAAAGUUUUGUCUUUUCUUUAUAGUCGGUUGUUUCACCGACUUGAUCUUACUAUAAAUACCCCCUUAUGUCUUUGUAUCAGAUGAUUUGAUUAUCGAAUGAAAAAGUCAACCCCUCUUUCUCUUUACGUUGCUCCAUCACUCUCUCUUUUUAAGUUUUAUCAACUCCCUCUCUCACUCACGAUACACAUAUAUAAAUAAUAAAUAUAAGUUCUAUUUCCUAAGUUAUAUAACACGUUAUCAGCACGAAGCUCUGACCAACUGAAGUUUAUUAAUCCGAAAAGUUCUUAAACCAGCCGAGGUAAUGUUUAAAUUUAUGUAUUUUUAAUAUACUUAUUUUAUUUAAAUUUUAUUAUUGCUUCGGAGUGAGAGGCUGGACCUUCUCCGUUCGGGAUGAUAGGCGCUGCCUUCCCCGACUGAUCGUUAUGGUAGGCUAUGCCUUCACGAUCAGAGAAACACGUGGUAGGCUUUGCCUCCGUGAAUAAAAAGGUCAAAAUGGUAGACUAAGUCUCCUCGGACCUUAAAAUAAAUAAAGUCAAAAUGGUAGACCAUGUCUCCUCGGACUUUGAAAAAUGAUCAAUAUGGUAGUCUAUGACUCCUCGGAUCAUGUGGUAGGCUGAGCCUCCCGAUUUUAUUUAUGCUAUUUAAAUUCUUGCAAUUUAAAUUUCUGCAAUUUAAAUUUCUGCAAUUUAAGUUUAUGCUUUUAUUUUAUGCCUUUAAUUUCUGCAUUUAAAUUACGCAUUUAAAUUCUUGUAAUUACUAUAACUAUAUAUAUUAUUCUAUGAAUACAGUUAUCAUGUCGAAUUUGACAAAGCUCGAAAUUAAUGCCCUGGAUAUUAUGGGAAAUAAUUAUAUGACCUGGGCAGUGGGUGCAAAAAUGCACCUGAGAGGAAACGGGCUUUUGGAAACCAUCGAUAGUUCAAAAAUGGUGUCGGAUGAGAAAAAGGCUAAAGCCAUGAUAUUUUUACGACACCACAUCCAUGAUGGUUUAAAGGAUGAAUAUAUUACGAAAGAGGAUCCUUGUGACCUCUGGAAAUCUUUAAAAGAGAGGUUCGAUCACCAGAAAUAUGUGAUCUUACCGAAAGCUAAACACGAGUGGAUCCAUCUCCGGUUCCAGGAUUACAAAAGUGUUAGUGAGUUUAAUUCCGCGAUGUUCGGAAUUACUUCGAGGAUGAUGUUAUGUGGAGAGAAAAUAAGUGAUUAUGAUAUGAUCGAGAAAACUCUCUCCACGUUCCAUCCUGAAAAUGUAAUCCUGCAACAACAAUACCGAGUGAGUGGAUAUACCCGUUACUCGGAGUUGAUGCAAGUCCUCCUUGUAGCGGAGUAGAAUAAUCAACUCGUGACUUUAAACCAUCAAGCUCGUCCCACUGGAUCUGCUCCAUUCCCUGAAGCGAAUGUUGCAUCAUCCAGUUAUGAUAAUAGGAGAGGACGAGGUCGUGGACGUGGUGGAAACCGUUAUCAUGGUCGUGGAAGAGGACGAGGAAGAAGAUUCCGUCCCUAUGAUGAAAGAAAUAAUAAAGACUUCCACGAAAAUGAAAGGAAUGAAAAGGGCCAGGAUGAUAAAAGGCAAACGGGAACGGUUUGCUACAGAUGCGGCAUGAAAGGUCAUUGGGUACGUACCUGUCGUACACCAAAACAUUUAGCCGAUCUGUAUAGAGAAUCCCAAAAGGGAAAAGAGAAAGGAAGAGGUGAAACUAACUUCAUCUCUGAUGAACCUGGGCCAUCCUUUCAUGGUUUAAACGAUGAUACUCAUCUCGACGUAUCAGACUUUCUGGUUGAACCAGAGAGUAUCGAUGAGUAAUAUAAAUAGAUGUGAUAUAAGUAGACUGUAUUAUAGUAUCUAUAUAUUUUGUUGUAAGAUAUAUGUUAUGUUUGUUAUGUUUAAUGUUUAAUAAUAUAUGUUUUAUGAAUAUUUUAAAUUCAGAAAGAAUGCCAAACUUUGAGACUAUGGAUGGAGAUUUGUGUUUGGCAGAUAGUGCGUCAACGCACACAAUAAUCAAAGAUAAGAAAUAUUUCUCCAGUCUCAAAAUAAGAAAUUACGCUGGAAGCGUAAGUACAAUAUCUGGUAAUGCAAAGAUUAUUAUGGGCUCUGGAAGAGCGAAAUUUUCAAUGCCAGGGGGAACGAUAUUUGAAAUAAGUUAUGCAUUGUAUUCCCCCAAGUCUCAUAGAAACUUGUUAAGUUUUAAGGAUAUCCGAAGAAAUGGAUAUCAUAUUGAGACUAUGAGUAAAGAUGGCAUUGAAUUUCUUUGCAUUAAGUCCGAGAAAAAACAUAUACUUGAAGAGUUAAGAAUGUUAUCCUCUGGACUAUAUUGUACAAAAAUAACGAUGACUGAGUCCUAUGCCGUGGUAAACAUGAAGUUUACUGAUACAUUUAAAAUAUGGCAUGAAAGGCUAGGACAUCCUGGUUCAGUCAUGAUGAGAAAGAUAGUGCAAAAUUCGAAUGGCCAUCCGUUGAAAAACGGAAAAAUUUUGCAAACGGGCGAGUUUACAUGUAAUGCAUGUUCUCAAGGAAAGCUUAUAACUCGGCCAUCACCAGCAAAAGUAGGCAAUGAAUCACCAAUGUUUUUAGAAAGAAUACAUGGUGAUAUAUGUGGGCCGAUCCACCCACCAUGCGGGCCAUUUAAGUAUUUCAUGGUAUUGAUUGACGCAUCUACUAGAUGGUCAAGUGUGUCUCUUUUGACGACACGAAAUACGGCUUUCGCAAAGUUCAUUGCCCAGAUAAUAAAGCUGAGAACGCAGUUCUCAGAAUAUGCCAUUAAGAAAGUAAGGCUUGAUAAUGCUGGUGAAUUUACAUCGCAAGCCUUUGAUGAUUAUUGUAUGUCAAUGGGGAUUGAUGUGGAGCAUCCAGUCCCCCAUGUGCAUACACAAAAUGGCAUGGCUGAGUCAUUGAUAAAACGGUUGCAGUUGAUUGCAAGACCGUUAGUCUUGAGAACAAAGCUCCCAAUUUCUGUAUGGGGUCAUGCUAUAUUGCAUGCGGCUGCACUGGUUCGGCUAAGACCGAGUACAUAUCAUAAGUACUCCCCUUUACAAUUGGCAUCUGGACAAGAGCCAGAUGUAUCCCAUCUCCGUAUCUUUGGGUGUGCGGUCUAUGUUCCGAUAGCUCCGCCACAAAGAACAAAAAUGGGCCCACAAAGGAGAUUGGGAAUAUAUAUGGGUUAUACGUCACCAAGUAUAAUAAGAUAUCUGGAACCAGUAACUGGUGAUAUGUUUACGGCAAGGUUUGCCGAUUGCCGCUUUAAUGAGGAUGAAUUUCCAGCAUUAGGGGGAGGAAUUAGAGAAAUUCCUAAAGAGAUUACUUGGUGUACACCGUCGUUGUUACACCUUGAUCCCCCUACGAAUCAAAGAGAACUGGAAGUUCAGAAAAUUGUGCAUUUGCAUAAUUUGGCAAACCAGUUACCAGAUGCAUUCACAGAUACAAGAAGGGUGACGAAGUCAUGUAUACCCGCUGAAAAUGUUCCAUCAAGAGUUGAUAUUCCUAAAGAACAAACUGAUGGUAACAGAAUGAAUGAACCUAGGGUUCAGUUAAAGAGGGGGAGGCCAGCGGGUUCUAAAGAUAAAAAUCCCCGAAAGAAAAAGAAAUUGGAUGAACAAAGUAAGGUUCUAGAAGAACCUGAUACUGAAAAAUGUCUGAAAGAAGACAUAAAUAAAGAUGGUCCAGAUGACGAGAAGGGAACAGAAAAGUAUGAGAUUUCCAUCAACUACGCCCGAGAUGAAAAGAUAUGGAUCAGAAAUAAGAUAAAAGAUGUUGAUGGAAUGUUCUCCUUUUCUGUGUCCAAAGAGAUCGAUCAUGAAAAUGAUGAUCCCGAUCCAAGGUCCAUUUUAGAAUGCCAAAAAAGACAUGAUUGGGAGGAGUGGAAGAAGGCCAUUCAAAUUGAAUUAUUCUCCCUGAAUAAAAGAAAUGUCUUUGGACCUAUAGUCAUAACGCCUGAGAAUAUAAAUCCUGUUGGGUAUAAGUGGGUAUUCGUGAGAAAAGUAAAUGAGAAAAAUGAAGUAACACGAUAUAAAGCCCGAUUAGUUGCCCAAGGUUUUUCUCAGAGACCGGGAAUUGAUUUUGAGGAAACGUAUUCCCCGGUAAUGGAUGCAAUUACAUUUAGAUUUUUGAUGAGCCUAACGGCGUCUAAAAAUCUUGAAAUGCAUCUCAUGGACGUUGUGACUGCAUAUUUGUAUGGAUCGUUGGAUAGCGAUAUAUAUAUGAAGCUCCCUGAGGGAUUGAAAAUGCCUGAAGCAUUGAAAGAAAAAUCCAGGGAGAUUUGUUCGGUCAAGUUACAGCGAUCACUAUACGGAUUAAAGCAAUCCGGACGCAUGUGGUACAAUCGCUUAAGUGAAUAUCUUUUGAGUAAAGGAUAUGUUAAUAAUGCGAUAUGUCCAUGCGUUUUUAUAAAGAAAUUGUCAUCUGGCUUUGUGAUCAUUGCUGUAUACGUUGAUGACCUGAACAUAAUUGGAAAUCAAAAGGAGGUUGAUGAUGCUCGAACUCAUAUGAAAGAGGAGUUCGAAAUGAAAGAUCUCGGCAAGACAAAGUUUUGUCUUGGGCUCCAGAUAGAGCAUCUCCGAGAAGGAAUAUUUGUGCAUCAAUCAAACUAUACGAAAAGGUUAUUGAAACGCUUUCGUAUGGACAAAGCGACUCCUUUGAGUACUCCAAUGAUUGGUAGAACUCUCAAUGUUGAGAGUGAUCCUUUUAGGCCCUGCGAAGAUAGCGAGAAGAUAUUAGGCCCAGAAGUACCUUAUAUGAGUGCUAUUGGUGGGCUGUUAUAUCUUGCAAACUGUACCAGACCAGAUAUAGCUUUUGCUACUAAUCUACUUGCGAGAUAUAGUUCUGCUCCUACUCGCAGACAUUGGGACGGAAUAAAGCACUUAUUCCGUUACCUUCAAGGUACAGUUGAUUUAGGGUUAAUGUAUUUAAGAAAACCCGAGUUUGGUAUGGUUGGUUUUGCAGAUGCAGGAUACUUAUCAGAUCCUCAUAAAGCUCGAUCGCAAACCGGCUAUGUUUUUACAAUUGGUGGAACUGCGAUCUCUUGGCGGUCUCAGAAACAAACUCUGGUUGCGACAUCUUCGAAUCAUGCUGAAACUAUUGCACUUCACGAAGCAUGUCGAGAAUGUGUGUGGCUUCGAUCAAUGAGUCACCACAUACAAGAAUCAAGCGGAAUAGUCAGCGUGAAAGAGCCGACGAAAUUAUUUGAAGAUAACUCGGCUUGUGUCGCUCAACUCAAAGAAGGCUACAUCAAAAGCGACAGGACAAAGCACAUCCCUCCAAGAUUUUUCUCGUACAUAAGGGAGCUCGAGAAAAAUAAAGAAGUGGACAUUAAAUAUGUACGGUCAUGCGACAAUCCAGCUGACUUGUUCACAAAAGCCCUUCCGACUACAACAUUCCGAAAACAUGUCUAUGGUAUCGGAAUGCGGCAUUUGCGUGACCUGUGACAAGAAAGCUAGAUCCUCUAUUCUCAGGGGGAGAUUACGGACAGUGUACUCUUUUUCCCUUGUCAUGGUUUUUGUCCCAAUGGGUUUUUCCAUGACUAGGUUUUUAACGAGGCACUACGUAAUACAAAAUAGAUAAGCAAGGGGGAGUAUUAGAUAUUAUGCUUAUCUAUUAGAAAAUAUCUACAAAAGAUAUAUUAAUUAAAGUUUUGUCUUUUCUUUAUAGUCGGUUGUUUCACCGACUUGAUCUUACUAUAAAUACCCCCUUAUGUCUUUGUAUCAGAUGAUUUGAUUAUCGAAUGAAAAAGUCAACCCCUCUUUCUCUUUACGUUGCUCCAUCACUCUCUCUUUUUAAGUUUUAUCAACUCCCUCUCUCACUCACGG
rnacentral:lncRNA from 1 species